rnacentral:rRNA from 1 species
GCUAGGGGGUCAUCCCGACUUACCAACCCGAUGCAAACUACGAAUACCGAAGAAUGUUAUCACGGGAGACACACGGCGGGUGCUAACGUCCGUCGUGAAGAGGGAAACAACCCAGACCGCCAGCUAAGGUCCCAAAGUCAUGGUUAAGUGGGAAACGAUGUGGGAAGGCACAGACAGCCAGGAUGUUGGCUUAGAAGCAGCCAUCAUUUAAAGAAAGCGUAAUAGCUCACUGGUCGAGUCGGCCUGCGC